GGCAGGGUAGCUCAGCUGGUCAGAGCACAGGACUCAUAAGCCUGGGGUCGCGGGUUCAAAUCCCGCCCCUGCUACCA
rnacentral:tRNA from 4 species